rnacentral:lncRNA from 1 species
AUAAUUUAUCAGAACCUCGCGGUCUUGUGGCUCUACCUUCAGCCUUCGCCAGUAAUAUCUGGUCGAAGACUAAGGUGGUGUUCGCAUGAAUUUGUGAAACUGUUUAGUUUUCCGUCGCGGUUUUUUUUUUCAACUUAAAUAGUGAUUGAUAUUUGAAUGGGGCGGAAUGUCAUCUUGAUAUUGGUCGUUGGAAAACUCCCAUAGAUAAACUGGAAAUGGCCACCAUCGUGGAAAACCUGACAGAUGGAGGCUCGAAGAAGGACAGAAUUCGACUGGCCAAAGAUAAAAGAGAGGAGAAAGAUAGGUGCAAAGCUGGGCGGGAGCGAGCUCUCUUGGAGAAGGAACAGCGCGCACAGCAGCAGUAUGAACGCUCUCUGGUGGAGCGAGGGAAGCGUCUGGAGGAGCAGCGGCAAAAGGAGAUGCUCCGUCGUUCCGCUGUGGAGGAGAAAAGGAGGCA